GAGUUCUACUGUGAACUGUGCAUGUGAGGGACCUAGGUUGUGGCUCCUUAUGAGAAUCUAAUGCCUGAUGAUCUGUCACUGUCUCCCAUCACUUCCAGAUGGGACUGUCUAGUUGCAGGGAAACAAGCUCAGGGCUGCCACUGAUUCUACAUAAUGGGGGUGCACCACCAGCAUCCUCCUUGGAAAUGCUGGCCACAGGUGCCCUGUGUAGAAGCACAAGUGAGUUGGUGAAGAGCGGAUCCCCACCACCAAGGACUGUGUGGAAGGAAUGAGUCCACAUCCCUGACUGAUUUGGCCGACUCCGUGUGUUCCCUGGGCUGAAGUGAGUGUCCUGCUGGACUCUACAAGGCCACCCUCAGCGUGUCAGUUUCUGGGAAAAAGGCCCUUCCUAGGCAUCACCUCUGGCCGAAGCCUGCCAUCCUAACCUUUGGCUCCUGGCUUCCAGACUUUCUGGGAAGAGAAGGGAAAGGAUUCCUGAUGAAGAGGAUCUAAGUCCCCUGAGGAGCCUGCAGAGCUAUUUCAGCCACACCAGUGUCACCUGAAUGGAUUUCUGAAACUCUUCUCUGGCAACUUCCAGUAGUUUCCAAGCAACCCAGAAGAACAGGUCUCAUGACUUUAGAGGACUCAUCUUUUUUUUUUUUUUUUUUCCUGGAAAAGCAUAGUCCCUGAUUUGAUAUCCAGUCUCAUUCACAACCUUGCACUGUGUCCUUGGGCCAAAGCUUUGGGCCCACUGAGGAAAAUCAAAAGAAUGAGCUGCCACCAAUUCCCAAAGAUACAUCUCCAAGAGGAAGUGGGGCAGCAGCACCGCCACCGGAACAAGUGUGGGUCUCUCAAGGCUCCAUGAUCUCCAGGCACACGUUCACGAUGCACUGGAUCUCCAGC
rnacentral:lncRNA from 1 species